rnacentral:rRNA from 1 species
GUGGGGAAUAUUGGACAAUGGGCGAAAGCCUGAUCCAGCCAUGCCGCGUGUGUGAAGAAGGUCUUCGGAUUGUAAAGCACUUUAAGUUGGGAGGAAGGGCAGUAAGUUAAUACCUUGCUGUUUUGACGUUACCGACAGAAUAAGCACCGGCUAACUUCGUGCCAGCAGCCGCGGUAAUACGAAGGGUGCAAGCGUUAAUCGGAAUUACUGGGCGUAAAGCGCGCGUAGGUGGUUUUGUAAGUUGGAGGUGAAAUCCCCGGGCUCAACCUGGGAACUGCCUCCAAAACUACAUGACUAGAGUACGGUAGAGGGUAGUGGAAUUUCCUGUGUAGCGGUGAAAUGCGUAGAUAUAGGAAGGAACACCAGUGGCGAAGGCGACUACCUGGACUGAUACUGACACUGAGGUGCGAAAGCGUGGGGAGCAAACAGGAUUAGAUACCCUAGUAGUCC